rnacentral:piRNA from 1 species
UGAUAUAUGUUUCUUUCUCUACUAGUGAUC